UACGUAGGGUGCAAGCGUUAAUCGGAAUUACUGGGCGUAAAGCGUGCGCAGGCGGUUUUGUAAGUUUGUCGUGAAAUCCCCCGGGCUCAACCUGGGAAUUGCGAUGAAGACUGCAAGGCUAGAAUCUGGCAGAGGGGGGUAGAAUUCCACGUGUAGCAGUGAAAUGCGUAGAGAUGCGGAGGAACACCGAUGGCGAAGGCAAUCCCCUGGGCCUGUACUGACGCUCAUGCACGAAAGC
rnacentral:rRNA from 1 species